UGAUAACCCCAGCGGAUGUAGUCACGAAAUGCUCUACAAGUAAUCUUCGUCAGUAGAACUAAGUACACGUCUGAUUCAAGUAAACACUUGCUAAAAAUGCACGUUUUUAAAACAAUUUCCCAGAAAAAAUUGUAGUGUGCACAAAGCAGGCGUCUAAAUCAAUAGAUUUAUUAAUAAUAAGUGAAAAACCUAGUUUAAAUGAUGUUUGUGGUGCACCGUAAAUUUUGCAAGCCAUUCAUGGAUACGUCCGGGAAUAAACUAUCUAACAACGAACUUAGAUGGCGCUUCUCGAAGAUAGCCGACCAUAUACGAAUACAACCCAAUACACUUCUCAAAUCAAUUCAUUAGCAUAUCCAUUUUCGCCCAGGAUAACUACAAGCAUGUCGAAAUUGCUUGUCUUAUUAUUUCUGUCGCCAAUAUUAGGAUACGCGAUGAAAACGUAUUUAAACCGUAUCAAAGAUGAGCCUUCGCUAAAAGUUCUUCCCAAAGAUUGGCAAGACAAUGGUAAUGCCAUAUUGCACAAUGAUGAAACCUCAGGAAUCGCUGUGGCAGGCAUGCUGCUGGCCUGGGUGCUAUGCGGAGGUAUUAUCAUUUUGUUGAUUUGGGGUGGUUAUAAAGUGUAUUCCCGCUGCUGUAAUGUGUCUCACGGAUUGCAACAAAAUCAUCAAAACUCGAUGCCCACCUAGAUAGAACGAAUGCAUCAUCCCCAUAGUCUCCCUGGUGAAGAAAAAAGCGUUUCUUUUGACUUAACUUAAGUAAAUAAGUAAUAACGUCACAAACACAUAAGUACAAAAACGAGGAUUGUAUAUCCUGGCUUGUAGAUCAAAUCACUAAACAACUCCUUGAAACUAGCGAAAUGUUAAUAUUAAGACGUAUAGACGCUAAGAGGCGAAAUAAGAAGGAUGGUCAGAAGAGCAGAGUGUAAUAGGAACAACAUGGAUUCAGAAAUGGAUUCAGGAUCGAAGUCAUUAUAGAAUUGCAUGCAAUUGACACGACUGAGAGAGGAUGGGAUUGUACGAAUAGCAAAGUCACCAAAGGAAAGAGAAUUACAGGAAGACUGAAGAAAAUAUGAAGUAAUAACCAAUAAAACGGCAGUAUCGAUGAAGAACAAGGACUAUAAUACAAAACGGAAGAAGAGAGUAAAACUGUUCUUCAUUCGGUUAUUUAUAAAUUUUGUAAUUUUGUAUAAGAAUUGAAUAAAGCAAUUAGUCUAGUUCUAAUCUUUUAAAAAUCAAUUCUAUUCUUUUAAUAGCGUAACCUGUACGUUUACAAAAAAAACUCGGCAAAUGCUCUUCGUCAGUAGCACUCUAUACACGUCGUAUCCAAUAAACAGCAAGCUAAAAUUGCACGUUUUUAUAAACGGAGAUUUAUAAACAUUCACGCCCUGGAACAAGUUAUAUAAAAUGUGGCAAAUGCCCGGGAAUCAUAAGUGAAAUUAAAAGACAUUUGAGGAUACUAUAAAUCCAUUGCUAACUUCAGAAUUUAUCUACCCGAUAAGAAACUCAGAGUCGCAAAAGGUGGGGAACAAGGCAGUUUGCACAAUUUCCCCAGUCAUCUUUCAAACAUGAAGAAAUUUGCAUUUUUAUUUUUUCUAUUGCCAAUAUUGGGCAACGCAAUGAAAGAGCAUUUAAACCCUAUCAAAGAUGAGCCAUGGUCCAUUGUUCUUCCUGAAAAUUUGAAAGAAAUUUUUAAAGCCAUGCUGUUCAAUGAGAAUACCUCGUCCACCGCUGUGUGGCUAUCGUUCUUGAUCAUGGUGGGUAUAGGGGUUCUGGUGGUGACCGCGGUGUACUGGGGGCACCGCUUGUAUAACACACCAUUACGGGGCCGCAAUCACCACGAGUAGAAGCCACCAAAUAACAGGGAAAAUGAUAGGUCAAUGUGUUUGUAUAUGUGUCUAUUUAUGAAUGUUUGUAAUUGAAUGUGGUAAUUGAACGAAUAAAUUAAUUUUAAAAAUCUUUUAAGACCAACCUAUGAUGGUUAUCCUCCAGCGAGUUUCACACUAACCCAGCCAGUUGCAUUACUCAUUGCAAAUCAAAGUUUCAAUCUUUUGCAUUGGGAUCAAUGCAGAAAUACAACAAAAUAGAGUGUUCUCGAAUUUGGAAAAUACCAAUGAAAAAAUUCUCUAGAGGAUUCUUAGGCACGCAGAGAAGGACACUAUGAAUUUGUAACAGUCAUAUAAAAAUGGGGUAGUGUUCACACCGAAAUCUGAGCCGAAAGAAAACAGAAUGGAAACCAAGGAAGCAGCAAAUCCUUUGUCUUGGCAGUACCCAAAAGCCUAAAGGGCAAACGCGCAGUGGACGAACGAAACGAGUUGGCGGGUGGUCCCGUCUUGUCUCGCCUGGCCCGAGCACGUCUCCGCCCGCCGCGGCACGCAUCAUCAUCAUCAUCGGCCACAUCCGUGCACUCUUCAGCUCCGGCGAGAAGAAAAAACCCACACGCACGCAUCUAGCGCACGCAUGGAACCGAAGGCCGAAAACGCGGGCCACCCCAAAGCACGGGAACGAGUUUGGUUCGGCGUCCAGCGGCUCCAAAGAAGAACAAGAAGAAUAACCAGACGAAGACGCACACAAAUGCCGCUCAUAGCACAAUAUCAACAGCAAAAAGAACACCUUCUGCGGCAGAUGAACAUUUUAGAGAGUGCAGACGCAAUUGGUAAUAAAUUUACUUAGUAAUGUUUCCAACACACACGCACAAAUCAUUCUGAAACAUCUUCUACCCUGGUAUAAACUAUAUGUUCCUUUGGCGCGGUGCGGCGCGUCGCCGCUUUGUUCGUUAAUUGGAGGCGCUACAUCUCGCCACAGCUCAAGCCCCGAGGCGAGAAUCGAAAUCAAAGCGCCGGCAAAUUCAUCACGUUUUGAACGAGGCGUCGGGCAAUUUUCCUCUAGACAUUCAAGUGUUGAAGAUGAAGAGAUGAAAAAAAAGUAUAAAACUUAAAACAGAUUUAAGUCAGACACACACCAGAGGGCUAGUGAUGAAAAACUAAAUAAACAAAUUGUCGAAAUUUCAAUCUUCAAUCUUCACCAAUGUGGUUUUGUAACAGCACAAGAGACCCAGAUCGAAGACCGCAAGCGAUUAAAUCGCGAGCAAGUCGCGUUUCUAAUGGUUUACCUCAAUCGCCUCAAAUAAUAAUUAGAAAUAAAUUAGAAAAUUGAAAUCUC